GGGUCAGUAGGUUGGUCGUGCCACCGGUACGUACUGGUCUCACUGAUUCCUCCUUCCUGAAGAACCGUAAUGCCAUUAAUUUGGUGUUGCGGGGAAACAGGACUGUUACUUUGAAAAAAUUAUAGUGUUUAAAGCAAGCUAACGCUUGAACACAUUAGCAUGGAAUAAUGAAAUAGGACGUUCGAUCCUAUUUUGUUGGUUUCUAGGAUUGACGUA
rnacentral:rRNA from 1 species